rnacentral:lncRNA from 1 species
UCAGCUCCAUCCAUGUUCCUGCGAAAGACACGAUCUCAUUUUUUUUAAAUGUUUUGCCCAUUUUUAAAUUGGGUUGCUCAUUUUCCUAUUGUUGAAUAUGUUCUUUUUAAACAUUCAGCUGAGGUAACUCUUAAUAUUGUAUAACUAGAAAUACUCAGCUCCUGAAAUUUUGUCGUAGAAGAUUAGUGUUAGCAAUUUGCAAACUACUGAUGACUUGAACACAACAGCCUCAGAUCAGUAAUAAAUGCAGCAUUUUGCAACUAUUGACAAGGAUGCAGAUUAGCUUGUCUGCACUGAGUCUGCAGAGUAAGAAAAAAAGAUCAAGGACUGAAAGCCAGAGAAACAGCAUCUAAGAGAUGAGCCAGAGAAGAGGAGCCCAAGGUGGGAUAUGAGGGGGAGUGGUCAGAAAGCUAGAAGAAAAACCUGGAGGCUGUGGGACACAAUCUCCUUGAAAAAAUCUGAAGAGCAAGCAAAGUCAGCAUUGCCAGAUGCUUGAAAGUGGAUCUGAAUGAUGCAGUGUCGCAAUCCCAUUUUAUAAAUGAGGCAACCAAAACUCGAACAGGACCAUAUUGCGACUGAAACAAGGCAUAACAGGUCUUUGACUGGCUAUCCUGUGGAUGUGGACUCAGGCUAGCCUGCGCAAAGUGAAAGACAGGCAAUUAGAUUGAAAAAUACCUGUGAUUCAAAGAAGUCACAAGUCACAGAGACAAACUUUUCCCAGUGUGUUCGAGUCAGAGAACCUUUGCAAAGACCAACAGGCUAAAAGAGAAAAUACAAUGUCAUCUUGAUGCAGAUGAGCAGGUAACCAUGGAAGUCGUGAGCUGAGGCUGCAGAGUCUAGAGCCAGAGUGUGGAAUAAACUUGGGUCUCAAAUCACCCCUGGAGCAAAGCACCCAUCUAAUCAGGAACUUCUACUUUCAACUUUACAUGCGUGAGAAAUGAACUUCUAUCAUGUUAGAGAAAUCCUUACACGGCGCCCUUGAGAGCUUUCAUACUGCAAGUCAUCCAUUUUCCUCCCCUCAAACCUGGCAUCGGAGUUUAUUGAAACAAAGCAAAAUAAAACAAAUAGACAAAGCUCUACCUCCAUCACUUCUGCAGUCUACAUUAACCCCACGUCCAGAAUAUUCACACCUCAGGUCUUUUUCUCACAAUUGAAACACUGGUUCAGAGCCUAACGGAAGGUCUUGGAGGUAAAAACACAACUUGGGGCAACUUUUCCAUUCUGUUCUGCAUGACCCCAAUGGGACUUCUCAGAAACCCCUCUCAUGAAUUAAACUUUGUUCUGUCUAGAGCAUUAGAAUAAGCUUAUGGGCACCUGCCAGGAGAUUAUAAAGUGGGCCAUUUAAAAGAUGACAGAUAUUGAGCACCCUUGACCCUGUAGAAAGAGUGUACCUACUUGCUUUCCCUAGGGCCCUUAAUGGUUUAUAAAA